rnacentral:rRNA from 1 species
AUGGUUGGACUCAUAGGGAGGGAGCCAGGGGUACAAGGGAAGUCCGCCAGUGCAAGUUAUCAUUGGAUUGUUGAACACUUUGGGGAAUGCCCAGCUGAUGCGGACGAUGAAACAGUGCAGCAGUAUACCAGGGCAUACUUGUGGUAUGUAGUCAGCCGGAAUCUUUUCUCUGACGGCACUGGCAUGACUGCUUCCUUUAUGUGGCUUAAGAUGUUUGCUGGGUGGGAGCAUUGA